UUACGGCGAUAUCACGUUAAAAUACCGGUUCCCGUACGAGCACCGAAGUUAAGCAACGUCAAGUCUGGUCAGUACCUAGACAAGUGACGGCUUGGGAAUACCAAGUGCUGUA